rnacentral:rRNA from 1 species
AGAACGAACGCUGGCGGCAUGCCUAAUACAUGCAAGUCGAACGAACACUUCGGUGUUAGUGGCGCACGGGUGCGUAACGCGUGGGAAUCUGCCCUUGGGUUCGGAAUAACAGUUGGAAACGACUGCUAAUACCGGAUGAUAUCGAAAGAUCAAAGAUUUAUCGCCCAGGGAUGAGCCCGCGUAGGAUUAGCUAGUUGGUGAGGUAAAGGCUCACCAAGGCGACGAUCCUUAGCUGGUCUGAGAGGAUGAUCAGCCACACUGGGACUGAGACACGGCCCAGACUCCUACGGGAGACAGCAGUAGGGAAUAUUGGACAAUGGGCGCAAGCCUGAUCCAGCAAUGCCGCGUGAGUGAUGAAGGCCGUUAGGGUGUAAAGCUUCUUUACCCGAGAUGAUAAUGACAGUAGUCGGAGAAGUAACGCCCCGGCUAACUCCGUGCCGAGCAGCCGACGGU